UACGUAGGGGGCAAGCGUUGUCCGGAAUCAUUGGGCGUAAAGAGCGUGUAGGCGGCCCGAUAAGUCCGCCGUGAAAGUCCAGGGCUCAACCCUGGAAUGCCGGUGGAAACUGUCGGGCUGGAGUCCGGAAGAGGCGAGUGGAAUUCCUGGUGUAGCGGUGAAAUGCGCAGAUAUCAGGAGGAACACCAAUGGCGAAGGCAGCUCGCUGGGACGGUACUGACGCUGAGACGCGAAAGCGUGGGGAGCAAACAGG
rnacentral:rRNA from 2 species